AAUGCUUCGAAGUUUGCCCCGUAUUCCUCAAGAAGCGGCGGAGUGAAAGCGAUCGAUGUUCAGAUGUGUCAGAGACACACGGAUCCUAUUUGGAUCCAAGAUAUUAAACUUAUUUUUGCAAUGCGGCGGAGUGCUUGAAGCUUGCUUCACCUCCGCCACGGGUUGGCCCGGUAUUGCACUGCGGAUUGUCUACACAUU